CCAGCUCUGGUUCCCCAGCCUACUGGAGGAUAAGAGGAUAUAAAGGUCUCUUAUCCUCCAGUAGACUAGGGAGCCAGAGCUGGUAAUAAAAGUC